UUUUCACGUAAACAAAUCGCGUAAGACUUGAGAAUAGAAUUAAGUUGAAGUGUGUAUGCAAAGAAUAAAAGUAAAUAUGCAAAUGUAAUGAUUCAAUUGGCUUUAAGAAACUAUGGAUGAAUGGAGUUGUUGGAGUUUACAAUUUCAUCUUAUCCACCCUCAUAUAUCUACUCUUCUUAUUUAAUUAGCUUAUUUAUCAUAUUGUCAUGCAAACUUUCUUGGUCUACCCUUAACCCAAUCCCUUGGUGAAAAGAGCCUAUUACUAAUUACCGACUUGCUAUCCCUAGCCUCC
rnacentral:lncRNA from 1 species